UUCUUUUGAAGCUCUUUAAACCCAAUGACUGGAUCUGGAUCCGCAGUCCAAUACUAAAAUUUGGGUGAAGUAAGAUACCUUAAUUCCCUCAAGAUAUAACACCUCACUCAAUAUCAGAAAAUGUUACUUGAAACUUGUAAAUAAAAUUGAGAAUGGAAAUGGGGAAUAUGUCAGAGAGACAACAACCCGACCAAAGAGCAGAAAACAGCCGAAGGCCACCAAUGGGUUUCAACACAGUGAGAAAAUCCUGCACCCGGAGUCGGGAUUCAGCUUUGAUUGCAUUGUUGAUGGCAUCAUAAGUAAAUUGUGCAAUGGUAUGACCAGCAAAAAAAAGAUUUCGAUGUUUUAGUGGUCAUUUUUGAUAGAAAUUGUCCAAUAAAUCCCAUAAUUAUUUGUCAUUCAUUGUUUUAGUAUUAAUCAGGUCAUUCCUUUUCUUGUUUGAAUUGUUUCACAUUUUGUCAUCCAUGUCAUCUAGCAUUUGUUUUGUCAUGUUUGUCAUGUUUUGUCAUGUUUCAUCAUGUUUUGUCAUGGGCCUUUUAUAUUUUACUACAAUAUGGGUUUACUAAUUGUUGAAGGCUGUACAGUUACAUGAAAUUGUUUAACAUCCUAUUAUAAAGUCUUUCUUUCCUUUUGGGGAUAGUUGUCUCAUUGGAUUUCAUACCACAUCUUCUUAUAUUUCUUUGAUGUUUUGUACAGAAAAUAUGGAAUAUGUACACAUAUUUGAUAAUUAAAAUUAUUUUUUAUUAAUUUUUUCAACCAAGAAGACAAUGACACUGUUUUUCUAACUUUAUUUAUGACUCAGAAUAUUAAAAUGAUUUUUAAACUGUUGCUGCUCACAUGGAAGCUAUUAAACCAAGAGUUCUAAGCGGUGAAGUUGAAAUCGUCCCUUAGUAAAUUUUACGGACGCCAUCACAAGUUGGUUAACCGUUAUGGAAUAUCCGUUUCACAGAUGACAACAGAUAUGUUCCAAUUGUCGUAACUACAAUCCUGUCCCCUUUUCCCCGAAUGUGAUCUACCGAAUAAGACUCAUCACCAGGAUCUAACUACGUAAAAUUAAUUAGUUGCCUUAUUGAUAAGUUUCGUAGCUUGUCAUUUCAAAACGUUAACAUCUUUAUCAUUACCCAAAAUUGGGUUGACAUUUCCUAAGUAUAUAUAUGAACAAAAGGAGCCAAAGACCAUUCUAUUUGAUACCAUAUGGACCAACUGCAUGUCUACCAUUUUUGUAACAUGCAUGUAUUGACUAAACACAUGUUUACUAUUUUGUAACAUAUUCACUAAACACAUGUCUACCAUUUUGUAACAUAUUGACUAAACACAUGUUUACCAUUUUGUAACAUAUUGACUAAACACAUGUUUACUAUUUUAUAACAUAUUGACUAAACACAUGUUUACUAUUUUGUAACAUAUUGACUAAACACAUGUUUACUAUUUUGUAACAUAUUCACUAAACACAUGUCUACCCUUUUUGUAACAUAUUGACUAAACACAUGUUUACUAUUUUGUACAUUAUUUCUUGUGAAUUCCAAAACUUUGUACCAACAUAGGUUUUGGUGAUUUUUAAAACAGAUUUAAAUAAUAGGAAAGAAUCAUUCAAUGAGGUAAAGAAUUCAAUUUUGUUAAACAUUUUAAGAUUUACAUUACAAAUUGAAUUAUUAUUUUAUAACAUAGGGUAGCAGUUGCAGUAUUCCUGAUCACUUCUAAUGACCUAUGAUUGGUUAUAUUAAGCAAUACACAGAAAUUUGAUUUAAGGUUUAUUUGCAGACAGGAUUUAGCCUAAUUUUAUUUUAUAGCAAUAAUAAUACAAUGUAAUAAGAUGUUUUUUAAUUGACAAAGAAAUGAUUAUUUGCAUCUGCUUUUAUAUAGUAAUUAAAGAGUUGGUUUAGA